rnacentral:rRNA from 1 species
AUUGAACGCUGGCGGCGUGCCUAACACAUGCAAGUCGAGCGGUAACAGGUGUAGCAAUACAUGCUGACGAGCGGCGGACGGGUGAGUAACGCUUGGGAAUCUGCCUGUUAGUGGGGGACAACCCGGGGAACUCGGGCUAAUACCGCAUACGCACUACGGUGGAAAGCCGGGGACCGCAAGGCCUGGCGCUAACAGAUGAGCCCAAGUCGGAUUAGCUAGUUGGUAGGUAACGGCCACCAAGGCGACGAUCCGUAACUGGUCUGAGAGGACGACCAGUCACACCGGAACUGAGACACGGUCCGGACUCCUACGGGAGGCAGCAGUGGGGAAUAUUGGACAAUGGGCGAAAGCCUGAUCCAGCGACGCCGCGUGGGUGAAGAAGGCCUGCGGGUUGUAAAGCCCUUUCGGUGGGGAAGAAAGUCUCGACCUAAUACGUCGGGACCUUGACGUAACCCACUAAAGAA